UUUAAUUUGAGAUACGUUUUUUUUAGUUUUAUUAUUGUCUGUUACUAAAAUAAUAUAAUAAAAAUAUGUGGUUUAUUAAAGUUGGAAGGUUAUUCAUGAAGUUUUGUACGUCGGUAGCUAAUUUCGCAUUCCUCUUGGAGAGUUAUGGGAACGUUUCAAAAUAAACUGACACAAGAGACUCAUUCGAAUUUUGCAUAAAAACACAAUAUGUAAACUGACACAGCCGAAGAAAAUUAAUUACCCUUAUUUUCCUUCUACCAUUGAGGAGGAAAAAAACAUCCCGCAAAUAUUUGGUUUGGAGAGGAUUUCGUUCUAUCGUAUGGAUUUAGGGCACAUUUCCGGGAUAUAUGGAUUCAAUGGAAAUCCUCGCCACUUUUAUAAUCUAUUAGUAACACUUUUCCGGUCAAAGCGAUGAAGGUUCUCUUCGAAAUUGCGGGCUAAGUGCGCUUUCGAACACCACAAACAAGCUUAAAUUAACGAUUCUUUGAAAAAGUGGUCUUUUAGCUCAAAGAAAAUGUGGGUUUUCUUUUAAAGAGACCCUAUUAAAAAUAAAAUUUCAUUAAACAUUUUCGUCUAAA